rnacentral:tRNA from 1 species
GAUGGUAUUGCUCAGUGGUAGAGCGCACGCCUAGCAAUCACAAGGUCCUGGGUUCAAUCCCCAGCACCACCA